GCAUCUGGGGGUGUCGGACUGAGACAGACGCGCAGAGAUGGCUGCAAUUAAGCAUGGAGCGACAUGGCUGCGGGAGUAACGCGCGUUUAAAGUGAUCACCCUGUCUGCUGUGCUGCUGGGGCGGGUGGCUGCUGGGUGCCUUUGGAGCCCACCAUACCAGGGGAGUUCAAGGGGAGCCUUGGAGUUGUCUGCUGCCUGCGUCCCCUGCAGCAGGUGUGUGGGGAGGGGGGAAUGCACUCCCUGCCAUGGGCAUCCUGGAGCUGCUGGUCGUGGGGCCAGUGAGAGCUGAGAUGUCAAGUUAGAAACCACUGCAGGGGGUGUGGAAGCUCUGCCAGAGCUGUUUCAGUACGAGAUGUUUUUCUUCAUCUGUUUGGUUUCAUUGCAAGUCUCUCCUCUUGCUUGAGGCUGGUGGGGGAAAAAAUCCUCUUGCUGUUGUUUUUUUACAGAUGAGUCAUCUCUAUUUCGAGGUGUUGCAGGUCAGCCUGAUGGAGCUCAUGCUUGUGUAGGUUGACCUGCAGGUGCUUGGCACUCUGAGUGAGGAUGCUGAACAUCAGAGCUCCCACACUCUCAUGGGGUCAUUGCAAAUCCAUUUGUAUGAUGCGUCCACCUUGCUUGUUCCCCUCCUGGAACAAAAACAAAGCAUCAGUUGACGGGAAUUGUGGAAGGGCUGCUCACUUGAGAAGGAAAAGGGAAAGAACAUCAUCACUGAGGAAGAUUUCCAUCCUUAUGAACUGUGGUGCUCAGUGUCUGUAUUGCAUGGCGUUACAGCUGUCCUCAUGUGCUUCACUCCUGCUCACAAGACUGCAUGGUCCAGCAGCUGCUUGCCUGGACAGUCAGCACAGGCCAUAUGCCCUUAUUGGCAGCUGAGGGACUGAACCUGAAGGCAGGCAGUGCUGGCUUGUCCAGAGAUGGGAGGCGAGUCUCUGAAGCCUGCACUGCAACCACAGUGCAGAGUUCAUGAUUGUCAGUGCUGCUGAGGUCUGUUUGGCUGCGGUCAAUUUGGUCUCUGCUAAGGAAGUGGUGGCAGAUGUUUGGGGCAGGAUCCUGACACAGCUUGGAAGGGUCUCUUCCUGGAGAUGGUGCUUGGAAGGCAGUGGAAAUUAGCAGAGCUGGUGUGCAGCCAUGCUGAGCUUUUUGUGGUUAUGUGACUGAGAGCAGACUGGGGCUCUGUAGGUUUCCAUUGAGGAAGACUAGCUGUUCAAGUAUCUUAGAACGUGAUGUAGUGCCUGUCUGGAACUUGGAAAUUGCUCUGAGAUGAGCAAUGGUUAUCUGACUGCUAUGUUUGCUCACUGUUCGCAUUUGGGAAAGGGAUGCUUUAUGAAUGCAGUGCUGCUGAAUGCAAAGAAACCCCACCUGGCAUUUGUGAACAGACCUGAAUAUCCUUGACUAUCCGGGUGCACAUCAGUGGUAGGGCAUUUUUGCCCUGUGUAAGUAAUGGUUGGCAUUAGGCAGAAGGGUGGCAUGUUCUGCUAGGGGCAUGGAUAGCCAAAAGCAGCUUCUUGGGAUGCUACCAAGGUCUGCUAUGAAGGUGCAAGAUACCUAUUGGUAGUCCCAGCCAUCCCCCAGCUGAAAGGCAGCUCUGCCUUGCCAUCAAGACCUCAGACUCCAGGUGGCUCUGAGGCAGGGGCAGGCUUGUUCUGGGUGCCCCUUGUUGCCCUGUGCCCCAGCAAGGGGAGAUGUGAUGUCAUCUGGGACAACAUCUCAUUUCCACGUGACGUCUGCUGGUAGAAACGUGGCAUGGCCCACCCUCAAAACCAGAUACCUGCCUUGUGUAUAUCUAUUGUACCAUAUAUGUUGGUACGAUAUAUAGUGCAACUCUUCCAGAUUGCCCAUGUCGGGGCUCUCAGUGCUCUGAGUCAGGAUUCUCACAGUUCUGACUCACCACGGCAGGCUGGAAGGUAUUUCUCUCUCCAACUGGUGGGCUUGGCUGGUUGUGCAGAAGAUGAGCUUUCUUGGAAGGUACAAACUAAACGAAUGGCUCUUCACGUUAUCCGGGUGGCAACAGGGAUUGUUCUGAAUGGGAACCAAUGAAACCCAGCCUAACGCCGCUGCUUGGAAGAAAGGCAGCCAGCUUUUUGCAUCCAAAGGUUUUGAACCUCACGACAUUUUAUUUGAUGCUCAUAAUAAAAGGAUAAAGCAUGAGGUCAGCUUUGUGCAACCUCUGCCCAUUGCGGUACCAUUCCGCUGAGCUGCAUUUUGGGAGGAGGUGAUGGAGAGCAGCAGAGCAGCCAGCCUUGUGAAUGGGGCUUUGCUGGUGGCUGUGUGUGCUGAGCAAAGCCCUAACAACAUCUGCUGUGCUGCAGGAGGGCACAUGGACGUGCCAGCUUUCUGUUCUGUCUGGGGAAACAAGGUUGGAACAGGGCAGGAACUGCAGGCGCUUUUAUGGGGAACAAGGAUGUAUGAAUCCAGCAAAGCUUGCUCUUAAAUCCGGGAUUGCUCUGAGACCAUCACGUGCCCCCAGUGUGCCCUCAGAGCUGCAGGUGUUGGUUUGCAGUGAGGCAGUGCUCUUUCAGUGGCUGUUUAAGCAGCGUAUCGUUCAACAAACAGCAGCUGCGUGCAGCCACAUCAAGCUAAAUCAUUCUUCUAAAAGGUUCAGUUGUCAGGUAUUCAUUAAGGUGGGUUUCAUGUUGAAAUGAUAGUCACUAAUACUGUGCAAAUAUCUGUGACAGCUCUCAGGUUUUUUAUGGUGCAUUGCAGGAUUGCCAGAUCCCCACUGGGAGGAAGAUGUUCUCGUGGGCCUGCAUUUCCUGUGGCCCUUCCUAAGAAAAUGAGUGCUGUACAUCAGUGCCACGUGCAGGAGGAGGAAUGGCUGUGCUGUAAGGCUUUCAUGUGAACAGGGUGAGGUGGAAUCAUAUCAUGGAAUCACAGGAUGGCCUGGGUUGCAAAGGCCCACAGUGCUUAUCAGUUCCAACCCCCUGCUAUGUGCAGGGUUGCCAGCCGGCAGACCAGGCUGCCCAGAGCCACAUUCAGCCUGGCAUUAAAUGCCGGUAGGGAUGGGGCAUCCACACCUCCUUGGAAAGCCUAUUCCCAUGGAUGUGGUGCAGGGCUCAGCUCUCUGCCACUCAGACGGGUGCCCAAGUGCAGACUUAAGCACCGCACUUCAGCCCAGAUAUUUCUGCAGAUCCUGGCCCUGGCUUGCCAGUGGUGUCGAGGAGCAAAUGGCUCUCACUGGUGAUGUGGGACAGCUCUUUGUGCUGCAGUGUCGAAGCUAUCAAUCAGAAACGCCAGCUGUGUCUCUUUAGGCUCAGCAGAGGUGAAUGUGCAGUGAUGGGCACAGCUUUGCGGAGGCAGGGAGAAAGCAGGCACUCCUUUGGGCAGCAUGGCGCUUCCAUGGCUUGAUGUGUUAUUUUCCCAUGGCUUUUGGGAAGACCAGCUGCCCGUUCAUGUUGCUUACCAGCAAAAGAAGUCACCUGAUGUUAUUCUAUGUACACUUAGGCUGUAAAUGGUGCCAUUCAGCACUUGCUGCCACAGUCUCCCACCCCAAGCUCUGGAUGCAAUGGAUGAGAGUGUUGCAGCCACACCAACAGGAUGCAAAAUGGCUGCAAUCAGCAGUGUUACUUAAAUCCAGAGGGAAGAAGCUGCUGUGCCCUCAUUUGCCCCCCAUCAAUGAAGCAGCUGGGCUGGCAUGGGGAGCUGCCAACGCCAUCAACAGCUGCUCAGAAGAGUUUGAAUGGAGUUUGUGUUUAUUGGAGAAACAGGAGGGACAUCCAUUGCUUGGUUUGCUGCUUGCAUUGCUGAAAUUGAGCUGUACGUCCUAUAGCAAAGCAUCCCAGUGUCGGUCGGAUGGUCCCUUUUCGGUAGGUUAAUGGGGUGCAGCCUUCUGUGUGACCGAGUAGGGCUGUGAUGCAGGAAGGAACGGAGUUGGCAGCGUUUAAGCUGGAAACCGAGCAGGAAAGGCAAUCCGCGAGCGCCCCCUGCUGGUCUAUAGAAGGAGUGCAGAAGGAAACGUCGCAUUGCUGGAGGAAAGAGGUAUUUUGGGGAGCAAAGUGGUAUUUUGGGGGAGAUGUCAUAUUUGGUGGAGAAAAGUGGUGUUUUGUGGGAGACAAUGCCACAUUUGGGGGAGAAAGUGGCUAUUUUGAGAAGGGAAUGGAAUUUUUGAAAGAAAAGUGCUAUUUUGGGGGGAGAAAGUAUCAUUUUGGGGAGAAAGUUGCUAUUUUGCAGGAGGAAUGUCAUUUUGGGAAGAAAAGUGGUAUUUUGGGGCAAAAAUGUCAGAUUGUUUUGAGAACAAGUGGCAUUUUGGGGUGCAAAUGGCUUAUUUUUGAAAGAGAAGUGGUAUUUUGGGGAGUAAGUGCCCUAUUUUGGGGAGGAAAGUGGUAUUUUGGGGGAGAAAACUUGAUAUUUUCAGGGGAAAGUUUAUAUUAUGCAGGAGAAUCUGUCCUAUUGGCUGGAGAAAAGUAGGAUUUUCAGGAGAUAGGGCAUUUUCUCCCCAAAAUUCCUUCUUUGCUCCAAAAAUAUGAUAUUUUCUCCCCCCAAUUAGGACAUUUCUCCUGCAAAGUACCACUUUUCUCCCCAAAAUAUGAACCUUGCUUGCCCAGAAUACCACUUCUAACCCCAAAGUAGGACAUCUGUUCACCAAAAUGUGAUCCUUCUCCCCCAAAAUGCCACUUCUCUACCCAAAUUGUAUAUUUUCUCCCCAAAAUACCACUUCUCUCCCAAGAAAUAGGACAUUUUCACCGCAAAAUACCACUCUUAUCCCCAAAAUAUGACAUUUUCUCUCCCCAAAUUAGAUGUUUUCUCUCUGAAGUAUGACUUUUCUCCAAAAUAGAUGCCAUUUUCUCCCCCAAAAUACCACUUUUUCUCCCCCAGAAUAUGACAUCUCCCACAAAAUACCACUUUUCUUCCCAAAAUAAGACAUUUUCACCCCAAAAUCCCACUUUUCUCCCCAAAAUAGAACAUUUUCUCCCCCAAAAUACCACUUUUCUCCCAAAAAUGUCUUUUUCAUUGCCAAAACACAACUUUUCUCCAGAAGAUAAAAUACUGUAGCCACAAAAUACCACCUUUAUCACGAGAAAAUGAGACAUUUUCCCCAUCACCUCCAAUUGUCUGCCCUCCCCUUCCCCAUCUCCCCUAUUAAGAUGUGUAAUAAACUGCUUGGACCAACACCUGAACACCUGCUUCUGAACUUCAUGCCAGGUGUGCAGAUAUCAAAGAACCUCCUCUUCCUCCUAGCAAUUGGAGUGAGGCAAUGUGUCACUGGUGGGUCACUUAUGAGUCGCAUAUGGGGCACUGUGGGUCAGUUGUGGGGCACUUAUGGGGCACAAUGUGUCCUUUAUGGGGUAGUAUGGCUCACUGAGGGUCACUUAUGGGGCACAGAUGAGGAUGUCCUGGACACAUGGUUCUCCUCCGGGCCCCACUGAUCAUGCUGUGCCCCACUGAUAACCCUGAGCCCCACUGCUCCCAUUGCUGACUCUGCUCUGUGUUCCCAGCCCAGAACUGCCCACAGCACUCAUGGAGCACCUGGCGUUGGUUGCUGCCAGCCCAGGGAGCACAGGUGCAAGCAAUGAAGCAGGGGGUGGGACAGGGUGGAGCCAGGCUGCAUCCCACCCUGAGCUCAUGGAGGGGCUGGAAGCUGAAGGGUUUGUGCCUGGGGGUUGCUCUGAUGUUGGGUCAGGGGAGUGCUGAGCCUGUUGUUAGUUUGUUGUUAAUUAUUGAUUGUCUUUAUGUUUGUUUUCUGUGGAUGCUGACGGCAGUGGUUUUUCUGAGCCUUGGAAGGACUCUGCUGAGGGGCUUGAAGGAUCCAGCAAGGAGCCAUAGCAAAGAACGGCGCUCUCUAGCCAUCCUUCCUGGUGUCAGGCAAGCUCUAUUGCUCUUCAAGCCUGUGUUGGCACUUGCGGAGUUUCUGUAGGCUUGGGCUCACCUUGCCUUGGUACUCUCUGAGCUUUCUCUGCUCAUUCCCUAGGCUUUCCAUCAACUUCUCUAGAGGUUUUCAAGCAUCUGUGUCCGUUGGAACAACAGGAGGUGCUGAAGAACUGCAGAGCAGUGCAAGGCCUCUGCUGUGGAUCUUGGUGCUGACAUUGCCAUUGCAACUGGCUUGGUGUGGGCCUGAAGCAGUGAUGGAGCACCUGGUGGGAGUGUGGACAGCCCAGGGAGCACAGGUGGAAGCAAUUCUUCUGUGGAGUGAGAUGGGGUGGAGCCAGGCUGCAUCCCCCUCUGAGCUCAUGGAAGGGCUGGCAGUCACAGGGGAAGGAUCUGUGCCUGGAUGCUGCCAUUUGUGUUGUGUUGGGCGAGUCCUGAGCCUUGGGAAGGGUUGAGGAGUUGUUUGUUUGCUCAUUCAUGAUUGUCUCUGUGUGUUUUUGUUCGGGAGGUGGUUGCAGAUGCCAGGAGUUUUCCUGAGUGGUGCAAGGACUCUACUGAGGAUCUUAGUGGACCCAGCGAGGAACCAAAGCAAAGGAUGGACCCCAAUAUCCUUGCUGCAUGACGGCAGGCAAGCUCUAUUGCUCCCAGAGAGUGUUGUUGCUAUUCGGGCCGUUCAGUAUGAUUGGUAUCAGCUUGUUGGUCCAGCUUGACCAACACUCACCACGUCUGUCCCUGCACCAGCUGCCUUUAGGUGUCGAUCAAGUGGCAGUGGAGAGUUGUGACCCUCCCAAAGGGUGCAAGGACUCUACUGAGGCUCUUGGUGGACACAGCAGGAACCCACAGCCAGAGAUGGAUGCCAAGAUCUGCUUAUUCCUCUGUCUGGCAAGCUCUGCUGACCCCGGAGGUCGUUUCCACGCUUGCAGGGGUCCUAUAGGCUUGGUGUUGGUUGUUGCUUGUCCUCACCUUGCUGUCACCGGGUGUUCUUCUUUUGCCCAUUUUUAGGGCUCCCCAGUUCUGAUGGGAUCUCCAUGUCUUCUGUUGAUCCCAGAGUACUUCGAUUUGUUAUUUUAUUUUCAGGUUCAGUACCAUUUCAUGCUUUUAUGCUGUGUUUUUCUUCCUUCCUUUUGUUUUACAGGCUGGAAAUGUACACCUGAUGGGAUCUAUGAUGACCCAAAUGCAGUCUAGGAAGGUUUGACCAAGUGUGGUGGGAAAGGAAGAGGAUUGGGGAUGUCAGCACCAGAUGCCGUUGCACUUUGUGACCUACCCGCCUUGCGUCUUUGAUGUGCCCAGAUCAUUGGAAAGGGCAAAUGGAUGAUUCCGGUUUUGAACCCUUGGGGGUCCACAACAUCUGGCACCUGAACAGGGACCUGAGAAACUGGGAUUGAAGGUCAGAAUGUUUGUGUAGCGUGAUUCGGACCAAGAGCAGUAACGUUGCAGUGGCAAGUUGGGGGGCAGCAUUGCCUAGACUGACUAAAAGGGGUCUGCACAAGAUCUGGAGGGCUCUAUUGGGCACUGCGUACGGCGCACAGCGGUGGGAUGCGGAGUGCACGGCACAGCGCACAGCGGUGGGACGCAGAACGCACAGCGGUUAGACGUGGGACGUACUGUGGUUAGACACGGAUUGCAGUGUAACCACGGAAAGAGAGGUAGCCCUAAAUCUUUUACAACACUUCUUAGAGAAGCAAGGGCUAGAAUUCAGGCUGCCUUCCUUGAAGUGGCGCCCGAACAGGGACUCGGAAAAGCUGCACAAGUUGCCGCAGCGGUUCGACGUGGAAGGCAACGAGAGUGGGGAAGGUCGCAAUGGGUAAGCUCCGGGCCAAGAGGGAGGAAGCUCAGAGGGUCGUGUGCCAGACACACGUUGACUUAGACCCGCAGCGGGGUGAGUGCCGUGUGCUGGGAUGGGUGGCUACUUAGGUAGGAAGAUUGCGCAGCUUCCUCCUCUGCCACUUGCUGCUAGCAUGGAUGUGGAAUUUGCAGCAGCACAGACACUGCUUCUCAGUAUCCUCAGUAAGCGAGGGGAGACAGUGAAGGACAAAGACCUAGCUAAGCUAGUGACGUGGGCUCGAGAACAGGGGCUCUUGCAGGCUCCUCCGCUCAUUUUUGUAGUGGAAGAAUGGCACAAAAUUGAGGACUGUAUGUGGGACAGAGUCCUUCAGGGCAAGACGAAGGAUGCUACAGCCCUGGGUUCUACCUGGCGGAUCGUUAUUAAUAUGCUUAAGACUAUGAGAGUGAAGGCGAAAGUGGCUGCUGCUGCUACUCAAGUUACAGCUGCUCCUGCGGAAACAGGGUCCUCCAAUUUCCUCAAGAGCUGCUCUCGGCUUUGCAAUCUCUUUAGAGGACCAACAGCGGUGGGGGCCUGAUGCUGAUCUGCCAACCUCUGAGCCUCCUCCCCCCAUUAAUCUGCGGCAGGUCCCUCUGCCGGUUAGCGGGGACGAGGAGUCUGACUCGGAGGCGAACUUAUCCCCUCCUGAAGGUCAUCAUGUUUCUACAGCAACGUCGGGACAACCUUUCUAUACCUGGGGGGAAGGCAUGCUGUUGCCAACACCUUGACGGCCAUACAACCCCCUGCUGAAUGGUCAGUCACAGCCUCUAGAGGCCCGAGCCCAGACUGUGUUGGCCCACCCCACAGCAGCUUCUACUACACAGACUGGGAUGUUUUGCUGAACUGAUUGCUGGACUGAUGUAUCUAGAGGUGGUAAAUUUACUUAUCGAAAUGUUGGUGAUUACUGUGGCACCAAUACAUAAAAAAGACAGGGUUUGGGUGCCUAUGGCGCAGCUGCAAAAGGUAACAACACGACUAUAUGGCCACAAGUGUUGCACUCUACUUCUUGGAACAGCUUACAGCAUGCCUUGCUACAAGGCAAACCGGAGGGUAAUCUCUACUUGUGUUGUGUUGUGUGGAACAGGUUGCAGUGGGAAAGUGUAGUUGUCCCGAGCGCAGCAUGGACUCUAUUGAGGCAUUUGGUGGAUAAAGCAGGAACCCACAGGCAGAGAUGGAUGUCAGGAUCUGCUCCUUCCUCUGUCUGGCAAGCUCUGCUGACCCCGGAGGUCGUUCUCAGGCUUACUGAGGUCCUAAGGGCUUGGUGUUGGUUGUUGCUUGUACUCACCUUGCUGUCACCGGGUGUUCUUCCUUUGCCUAUUUUUAGGGCUCCCCAGUUCUGAUGGGAUCUCUGUGCCUUCUGUUGAUCUCUGAGAACAUGGGUUUGUUCUCUUAUUUUCAUAUUCAGUAUGCUUUCCUGCUUUUAUGAGAUGUUUGCCUUAGUUUCUUUCCUCCCCGGAGGCCGUUCCCACGCUUGCAGAGGUCCUAUGGGCUUGGUGUUGGUUUUCCCUUGUGCUCACUGGGCUUUCCAAGCCUGUUCCCCUUACUUGACACCACCUCUCCCACCUUCUAUUUCCAAGCAGGAGCUCCCCUUAGCCUCCGUGUCUCGCUCUGGCCAGGCAGAUGUGGCGUGCCAUCGGAUCAAAGCUUUCAGAAUCCAACCAAAAGAAAUGGGGAGAGAGGCUGCCCUGGGUGAGACAGGAGAAGUGUCCCUUGAAGCGGGGGACGUCCCGCUGGUGCUGCCUCUCGCAUCCACCGGCAGCACAUUCCUUCUCUCUCCUUGCCGCCCGGCACUUUGCCGUCUCCCAGGACUCACCAAGUCCAAAUGUCCCCUGAUUGAAUGCAACUCCAGCUUGACCAACACUCACCCUGUCUGUCCCCGCACCAUCUGGCUUAAGGCUCCCCAGCACUGCUGGUUGUCGGUGCCUUCUGUUGCUCCCUGUCAACAUGAUGUUGUUCUUGGCUUUUUAGGUUCAGUAAUGUGUCGGCUUGUUAUGCAGUGUUACUCUUCUCUGUUUUCCUGUGUUUCAUGUUGCCAGUGAAUGCCUCUUUGGAGAUACAGUGACUGAAAUGUAAACUGUUGUUCUUUGACCAAGUGUAAUGGAAAAUGAAGAAGUAGGCUCCACUACAGCUAUCGUGAUUGGAGACUCCACUACCAGAUUCAAUUGGGCUUACAGCUCUUCCUGUGUUUGUGCAUUGGUUGUGCACUGACACUUGGAAAGGGAUAAGUGAUUAAUCUGUGUGCCCUUUGGCCCAAAUUUGAAAUAUUACCCGAUGUAGUCUAAGUCUAGCUUUUCCCACGCUCACCAUGUUUGUCCUCGCACUCAAUUGUUUAUUGAAAUAGUGAUGGGUUGUCGGUGCCUUGUGUUGCUGACAUCACACUUUGGAUUGGUUUUUCCUUCAUGGCCGAACAGCAUUUCUUGCCAUCGUGCAGAGUUUGUCUUUUUUGUUUUCAUGGAUUUCACCCAUUCGAUACUAACUGAAUGUUGGAUAAGCCUGCAGAGACAGAUUUGGGGAAUAAAAGUAGCAGUUUUGGAGAGUAGUGUCUGAGGGCUUGAUGGAUUGUUACAUGAUGUUUUUCCAGGUGGUUAUGUGUAUAUUACAUUUCUUUCAGAUUCGCUGUCCUAGUCGAAGCAGGAAGGACUAUUCUGAGUAUUUGUCACUGCCCACUUGGCAAUCACAAUUUAGGAGCCGCUUUUGUGGAUGCGUUGCUGCAGGGCAAAGAAGGCCUCAAACCCCCUUUGCAGACCUCUACCCCCAAGAGAGUUCUGAAACUUAUGUUAAGAAAAGAAAUUGCUUAAUAUUUUUCUGUCUUGUAUAGUUUUAACUGUUGCUUUAGCUUGGCCAGAAAAUAGGUAUGUAAAGCUAAUAGAAAAUCUUGCCAAAGCUUUUGGUGUUUCAGAUAGUUGGGUUUGUAUGUCUCUCCCAAGAAGUGUAGGAAAUAUGUCGAUUUACACAGCAGUUGCACUAAAUUGGACAAUACUGGAUUAUGUAACAAAUCAGAUGGAAAACAAUGGUGGAAACUGUAAAUGCGUGGAUGAACAUCAGAGUAGAGGUGGUCGUUGAGUUGA